AGAGCGAACGCUGGCGGCAGGCUUAACACAUGCAAGUCGAGCGCCCCGCAAGGGGAGCGGCAGACGGGAGAGUAACACGUGGGAACGUACCCUUCAGUUCGGAACAACCCAGGGAAACUUGGGCUAAUACCGAAUACGUCCGUAAGGAGAAAGAUUUAUCGCUGAAGGAUCGGCCCGCGUCUGAUUAGCUUGUUGGUGAGGUAACGGCUCACCAAGGCGACGAUCAGUAGCUGGUCUGAGAGGAUGAUCAGCCUCACUGGGACUGAGACACGGCCCAGACUCCUACGGGAGGCAGCAGUGGGGAAUAUUGGACAAUGGGCGCAAGCCUGAUCCAGCCAUGCCGCGUGGGUGAUGAAGGCCCUAGGGUUGUAAAGCCCUUUCGGCGGGGAAGAUAAUGACGGUACCCGCAGAAGAAGCCCCGGCUAACUUCGCGCCAGCAGCCGC
rnacentral:rRNA from 1 species